CCUACGGGCUGCACCAGUGGGGAAUCUUGGACAAUGGGCGCAAGCCUGAUCCAGCCACGCCGCGUGAGUGAUGAAGGCCCUAGGGUCGUAAAGCUCUUUCGCCUGUGAUGAUAAUGACAGUAGCAGGUAAAGAAACCCCGGCUAACUCCGUGCCAGCAGCCGCGGUAAUACGGAGGGGGUUAGCGUUGUUCGGAAUUACUGGGCGUAAAGCGCGCGUAGGCGGACUAUUAAGUCAGAGGUGAAAUCCCGGGGCUCAACCCCGGAACUGCCUUUGAUACUGGUAGUCUUGAGUUCGAGAGAGGUGAGUGGAAUUCCGAGUGUAGAGGUGAAAUUCGUAGAUAUUCGGAGGAACACCAGUGGCGAAGGCGGCUCACUGGCUCGAUACUGACGCUGAGGUGCGAAAGUGUGGGGAGCAAACAGGAUUAGAUACCCCUGUAGUC
rnacentral:rRNA from 1 species